GAGGAGCCGAGGGUUCUACAGCUUGGUCUGCAGGCAGAGAGGAAGAGACUGCCACACUGGGCCUGGCUUUGAGCACUUUAACAAGGCCACAUCUCCUAAUAAUGCCACUUCCUAUGAGCCAGUGGGGGCCGUUUUCUUUCAACCACCACAGGAUCCUUCUAUCCCUGCCUCCUUUGUGCUAAAAUUACAUGUGUCACCAUGCCUGGAUGCAGUUUUAAAACACCCAUCUUGUUUAUUUGUUUGUUUGUUUGUUUAUUUGUUUAUAACAGCCAUCUUAUUAAUUAUAUUUGUGUGUGUGCACGCACACACAAACACCACACACAGGUGAUGUGCACUCCAUGGUCAGCUUCAGAGAGUCUCCUGUCUCCACUUCCAGGAGUGCUGGAAUCACAAACACGGGCUACAAGUCUGGCUUUAUGUGGGCUCCUCAGAAAUGAACAUCAGUCUGCAGUCACACAGCCUUGCAACACUUCUUUUCUUUCUCUCUCUUCCUUCCUUCCUCCCUUCCUUCCUUUGUUUCUUUCUUUCUGUUUCUCUCUCUCUCUCUCUCUCUCUCUCUCUCUUCCUUCCUUUCUCUCUCUCUCUCUCUCUCUCUCUCUCUCUCUCUCUCUCUCUCUCUCUCUUUCUUUCUUUCUUUCUUUCUUUCUUUCUUUCUUUCUUUCUUUCUUUCUUUCUUUUUGAGACAGGGUUCUUCCAGGCUGUCCUGGAACUCACUCUUUAGACCAGGCUGGCCUCGAACUCAGAAAUCUGCUUGUCUCUGCCUCCCAAGUGCUGGGAUUAAAGGCGUGCACCACCACCCCCUGGUCCUCUUUUGGUUUUUCAAAACUGGGUUUCUCUGUAUAGCCUUGGCUGUUCUGGAACUUGCUCAGUACACCAGGCUGGCCUUGAACUCAUAUAUUUGCCUGCCUCUGCCUCCUGAGUGCUGGGACUAAAGAUAUGUGCCACCACACCUAGUUUGCAAUGCUAUUUUUUUAAAAUUUUAUGUGCUAUACAUAGUUAUAUUAAAAAUUUUGUUUUAAAUACAAAGGUGCAAUGACAAGAGAAAAAAAUUGCCAUCCUUUUAUUGCCUUGAGAAGAUUGGAGGAAACCUGCUGAAGGAGGAAAAGGGCCUCCUUCCUCCCUCAAAACUGCCACUGGUGGCUGGGGUCGCCUGUGAUUUGGGCUCUGUUCUGCUGGCAGGGUGGAGCCUGUCAUCUGGCCCGGACAGAAUUAUUGCCUCCAAUUACAUGGUUGAUUAUCAAUUACUUGUGUCCAUGGGAGAGCAUGUGUGCAUGUGUGCAUAAGUGCCUUUGCAGAUCAUUAAAGGUCGUAAUUCUGGAUUACCAUUGAUUAACG
rnacentral:lncRNA from 1 species